UUAACCACUGUGCCACCAGGGAAGUCCCACUUCCUGUUUUCUUUUUCCUCUGCUCUGCAUUUAAAAUAAUUUUUAUUAAUAUAUAUGUAUAUGCUUGCAAAAUUACCAAUUAACUCAGGAAAGAUACACAAGACAUUAGGAAUGGUAGUUGCCUCUGGGGAAGAGACUGGGUAGGUGGGGAACAGAUUCUUUCUUUUCACUUACUUUUUAAUACCUUUUGGACUAUGUACCACAGACCCCUAUUAUACAUUCAAAAAUAGGUACAAUUUAAAAAUUUUAAUACUUUAAAAAUUUUAAUUUGACCAGCAGUCUGGAUUUUUGUUGUAAAAGAGUUUUCAGGUUAUCUUUUAAUUUAUUAUUUUUCUAAAUCUGGAGCCAAAACUAAGUCUUCACAGAUCUCCUGCACUUCCAUGAACUGGGUGAGUAUGUGAUAAGGCCAGUGAGUUCCAUGGGCAGCAGCUCAGUGCAUCAUUCCUGUGGAAAACAGUUUGGCAGUUCAUCAGAAAGUUAAACAUAGAAUUAGCAUGUGAGCCAGCAAUUCCACUCUUAGGUAGAUACCCAAGGGAAAUGAAAACAUAUGUCCACAUGGAAACUUGAACACAAAUGUCUAUAGCAGUAUUAUUCACAAUAGCCAAAAGGUGAAAACAACCCAAAUGAAUGGACAAACUAUGGCGUGUCCAUACAAUGGAAUAUUAUGCGGCCAUUAAAAGGGACAAAGUAUUAAUACAUGCUACAACUUGGAAGAACCUCAAAAACAUGCUAAGCGAAAGAAGAUGAAACAGGAGGGAAGGGGGCAGGGCACAACCUUUAAAAGAAUGACUUAGCCGUUGAGGAUAUGACAUAAACUGGUUAGAACAAACUAGGCCCAAGGUGGUGGAAAAUUCAACUUCCAAUGGACCUUGAGCCUCAUUACACGCUCGUUGUGAUACAUCAGCAUAUGCUAAAUGACACACCCACCAGCGUCAGGACAGUUCCGAGGGCAGCCUUAAGAGGCCAAAAUGAGCGGCCGCAGAUUGCGAGGAGCAUGUGGACGCUUGGGCGCCGAGCGGCUGCCAGCCUCUUGCCCUGCUCGGCGCCCCCGGGCUCUGCCCAGGCCCGCGCCGUGGCCCCGCAGCCAACGAAAGACCCCCGGCUCUACGGCUGCCGGGGCCUGCGCACCGGGACCGCCGCGGCCAGCACACCCAGCCAGCCCAGUCCGAGCCUCUGCUGCCUCAACCAGAUCCUGAAUGUCAAAAAGCAGUGUGUCUGUUGGAUGGAUUUGAGGACAACAGGAACUCUGGGUGACGCUGGCCCUCUGGACGAUACCACCUAUGAAAGACUGGCCGAGGAGAUGCUGGACUCCUUAGCAGAGCUCUUUGAAGACCUUGCAGACAAACCUUACACAUUUGAAGGCUAUGAGGUCUCCUUUGGGAGUGGUGUUUUAACAAUUAAUCUGGGUGGAGAUCUAGGAACGUACGUGAUCAACAAGCAGACCCCAAACAAGCAAAUCUGGCUAUCUUCACCAUCCAGCGGCCCCAAGCAUUACGACUGGACUGGGAGAAACUGGGUGUACUCCCACGACGGUGUGUCCCUCCACGAGCUGCUGGCCACAGAGCUGACCCAAGCCUUAAAAACCAAACUGGACUUAUCUUCUCUGGCCUACUCUGGAAAAGGCACUUGCUGCCCAGCCUAAUGCUAAAGACAGUGAAAGCUCUAAAGCCAAGACCCCAGCUUCCUUCUGCAGCUGAAUGGCUAGUCUUCUCCAUUCCUGCUUUUGAGGACAGUUGCAUUAUGUGUAACGGCUCUGUGAAAAGACCGUGUCGCCUCCUGCCCUGCCCCUGAGUUCAGAUUUUUAAUUUCUGUAGGUUUCUUUUGAUUUAUUGUCUGAUUUCCUCCCUCACGUGAUAGCCCGUAUCUUUCAUGUCUGUAUGCCCAUACCUUUAAAAUAUAACCUCACAACAGAGAAAAAGAAGAAGGACAAAUUCCAGGAGGAGAAAUGAAUUGGCUUCACCAUUCAUUCUCUGAAAGACUUACUACAAAAACUGCAUGAAGAGUGGCUGGCCAACCUUGCCAUCCUGUCUCAAAAUGAGACUCGUUAAAGGGAAGCCUAAAACAUUCCUACUCCUCUUGAAAGUGUAAACACUUCUAAGCCCUUUAGUAUUGAAGCAUCAGUGGCAACUCGGGAACUCUGAAACCGAAGACCAUUUUCUCUUUGUGCUUUGUGACUGCCAGGGUGUGGCCUGCAUGGGGUGACACAGGGAGAUGUGGUGCCGUGUCUUCCAUAUGUGCAUAUAUAUGUACACACACAUUUACAUGUGUGUGUACAUAUAUAUUUUUUAAAUUUAAGGGUCAGUAUAGAAUAAGCUAUGGCAACACUGGUCUGAGGAUGCAGAAAAUCUCCCAAAAGCCACCUCUGUAAGCUCAUGGAUAUAGUACAAUAAAUGAGGCCAUGGAGCUGAGGAGGUGCUUCGUAAACUGUGAAAGGCCACAUAAAUGAAAAGAUGUUGGUUAGUGAAAGGAACCCUGGUCUUACAAUUGGCCCAGCUCAAAAGUAGUUGUCUGUCUCUGGGCAACUUUCUCGAACUCCCUGGACCUCUGUUUCCCCGUGUUAACAGAGAGGGUUAAACUGGAUAGAAUAUAGUCGAUUCCCAAUUUAGACAUUUAGUGGUCCUGUCAGGCAACUUAACAGGCCAGCUUUAAUUCCCUCUAGUAGAGGAGAUGACAGUGAACAGUUUUUUUUAAGCUAUAGAGUAAGUAUAUGGUUUGGAGUUUUGUUCUACUUGAAUUUCAGUUGAAUUCAUGUUCAAAUAAUCAUCUUUUAUUGUGCCAUUACUGUGCUAAGCCUGGGCUGUAGGCUGAAUGUUAAGGUGUUGAUCCUAACCCCCAAUCACAGCCCUUAUAAGUGAGAUUAGUGCCCUUAUAAGAGAGACCCCAGAGAGCUCCCUCAUCCCUUUCACCAUGUGAGGACACAGCGAGAAGACAGCUGUCUAUGAACCAGGAAGCAGGCCUUCACCAGACACCCAGUCUGCUGGGGCCUUGAUCUUGGACUUCCCAGCCUCCAGAACUGUGAGAAAUAAAUUUCUAUAUAUAAGCCAAAAAAAAAAAAAAAGCCAAAAUAGAAAUUUUGGUGGCCUAAAUCCUGGAAAUCCCGGACCCUUCCCCAAAUAGUUUUAAUAAUCUUCCCAGUUGUUAGCCUAUGAAAUUACCCAGCCCAUAAACACUAACCACCCCAUAUUUCAGGGCCAAUCUCAAGGCUUUUGAGAUGGAUUGAGUUCUGUCUAUGGAAUGUGCAUCUCCCAGGGCCUCUCGCCUUCUGUGAUGGUCCAUGGUCCACUCUAUGGAGUGUGUAUCUCUCUCAAUAAAUCUACUUCUUACUUAUCACUUUGCCUCUCACUGAAUUCCUUCUGUACUGAGACAUAAAGAGCCUGAGCUUCAUUAAGUCCUGAGAUCAGGUGUGCAGUUUCAAUUAAAAGGCAGUGGGUUUGAGGGAAUUCCCUGGCAGUCCAGCGGUUAAGACUUGGUGCUUUCACUGCUGAGGGCCCGUGUUCAAUCCCUGGCCGGGGAACUAAGAUCCCACAAGCUGAGUGGCAUGGUCAAAAAAAAAAAGACAGUGGGUUCAGGUCCCAACCUGAGUUUUGGAUGGGUUCGAAUCCCAUCUGAGUUGUGAGGUUUCAAAGCCAGACACAAAAAGUCACAUACCGUAUGAUUCAUUUUGUGUGAUAUACCCACAAUGGGCAAAUUCAAAGAAACAGAAAGCAGAUUCAGGCUUACCAGGGGUUGGGGGCAGGGAGAAUAGUGAGUGAUUAUUUGAUUGGUACAGUGUGUUUUUAUGGGAUGUUGAAAAAGUCUUGGAAGUAGAGAGAGUUGGUGGCUGCAUAACACUGAAUACACUACAUGCCACAGAAUCGUACACUUAAAUGGUUUAUUGUAUGUUAUGUGAAUUUCACCUGAAUAAAAAAAGCAGUUGCACAAAAAUACAUAUGAUAUGAUUAUAUCUAUAACAUUCAAAAACACAAAUUAAAUGAUAUAUUGUUUAGUUAUACAUAGAUGUGGUAAAAAGAAAAAGCCAAGGGAAUGAUAAACAC